rnacentral:rRNA from 1 species
UGGGGAAUUUUGGACAAUGGGCGCAAGCCUGAUCCAGCCAUGCCGCGUGCGGGAAGAAGGCCUUCGGGUUGUAAACCGCUUUUGUCAGGGAAGAAAUCUUCUGAGUUAAUACCUCGGGAGGAUGACGGUACCUGAAGAAUAAGCACCGGCUAACUACGUGCCAGCAGCCGCGGUAAUACGUAGGGUGCAAGCGUUAAUCGGAAUUACUGGGCGUAAAGCGUGCGCAGGCGGUUUUGUAAGACAGAGGUGAAAUCCCCGGGCUCAACCUGGGAACUGCCUUUGUGACUGCAAGGCUUGAGUGCGGCAGAGGGGGGCAUGGAAUUCCGCGUGUAGCAGUGAAACGCGUAGAUAUGCGGAGGAACACCGAUGGCGAAGGCAAUCCCCCUGGGCCUGCACUGACGCUCAUGCACGAAAGCGUGGGGAGCAAACAGGAUUAGAUACCCUGGUAGUCCACGCCCUAAACGAUGUCAACUGGUUGUUGGGAAGGUUCCUUCUCAGUAACGUAGCUAACGCGUGAAGUUGACCGCCUGGGGAGUACGGCCGCAAGGUUGAAACUUAAAUGAAUUGA